CCUACGGGGGACAGCAGUGGGGAAUAUUGGGCAAUGGGCGCAAGCCUGACCCAGCAAUGCCGCGUGAAGGAAGAAGGCUUUCGGGUUGUAAACUUCUUUGACAGGGGAAGAGCAGCAUACGGUACCCUCACCACAAGCCACGGCUAACUACGUGCCAUCAGCCGCGGCAAUACGUAGGGGGCCAGCGAUGUCCGGAUUUACUGGGUGUAACGGGCGUGUAGCCGGGAAGGCAAGUCAGAUGUGAAAUCUGGCGGCUCAACCUCCAAAUUGCAUUUGAAACUGUUUUUCUUGAGUACGGGAGAGGCAGACGGAAUGCCUGGUGUAGCGGUGAAAUGCGUAGAUAUAAGGAGGAACACCAGUGGCGAAGGCGGUAUGCUGGACAGCAACUGACGGUGAGGCGCGAAAGCGUGGGGAGCAAACAGGAUUAGAUACCCUAGUAGUC
rnacentral:rRNA from 1 species